AGUGAACGCUGGCGGUAGGCCUAACACAUGCAAGUCGAACGGCAGCACAGUAAGAGCUUGCUCUUACGGGUGGCGAGUGGCGGACGGGUGGGGAAUACAUCGGAAUCUACUUUUUCAUGGGGGAUAACGUAGGGAAACUUACGCUAAUACCGCAUACGACCUACGGGUGAAAGCAGGGGAUCUUCGGACCUUGCGCGAUUGAAUGAGCCGAUGUCGGAUUAGCUAGUUGGCGGGGUAAAGGCCCACCAAGGCGACGAUCCGUAGCUGGUCUGAGAGGAUGAUCAGCCACACUGGAACUGAGACACGGUCCAGACUCCUACGGGAGGCAGCAGUGGGGAAUAUUGGACAAUGGGCGCAAGCCUGAUCCAGCCAUACCGCGUGGGUGAAGAAGGCCUUCGGGUUGUAAAGCCCUUUUGUUGGGAAAGAAAAGCAGCAGGUUAAUACCCCGCUGUUCUGACGGUACCCAAAGAAUAAGCACCGGCUAACUUCGUG
rnacentral:rRNA from 1 species